GACGAACGCUGGCGGCGUGCUUAACACAUGCAAGUCGAACGAUGAAGCUGGAGCUUGCUCCGGUGGAUUAGUGGCGAACGGGUGAGUAACACGUGAGUAAUCUGCCCUUGACUCUGGGAUAACUGCGGGAAACUGUAGGUAAUACCGGAUACGACACCUUCGGGCAUCCGAUGGGUGUGGAAAGAAUUUCGGUCAAGGAUGAACUCGCGGCCUAUCAGCUAGUUGGAGAGGUAAUGGCUCACCAAAGCGACGACGGGUAGCCGGCCCGAGAGGGUGACCGGCCACACUGGGACUGAGACACGGCCCAGACUCCUACGGGAGGCAGCAGUGGGGAAUAUUGCACAAUGGGCGAAAGCCUGAUGCAGCAACGCCGCGUGAGGGAUGAAGGCCUUCGGGUUGUAAACCUCUUUUAGUUGGGAAGAAGCGAAAGUGACGGUACCAACAGAAAAAGCACCGGCUAACUACGUGCCAGCCGCCGCCGUAA
rnacentral:rRNA from 1 species